rnacentral:tRNA from 1 species
GGAGCUGUGGCUCAGUGGCAAAGCAUCUGCUUGGCAUGUGGAAGGUCCCAGGUUCAAUCAUCGGCAUUUCCA